GCAGGGGAACAUCUAAAACAUGAUGGUCAGUGGGUUGGGAAACACUGCUUUAACCUGCCCAUAGUGUUGGCUUCCUAUUACUAUUGCUUAUGUUAAUGGGUCAGUUUUGAGCCAUGUCUUAAAUGAGUCAUAAAAUACACUAAAAGCAAAUAUUCAGCAUCCAAUUUGUUUCUUACUUUUUGAUUACCUUGAUCCCUUGAAUAGAUUUGUUUUAGUAAAUUUUGUUGUGCCCCCCUGGGCUCUUGACAGCAUACCUGUUGUUUUAAACAAAUAAUUGUUGAAUGAAACUUUCAGAGAAUAAUAUAAAUACAUAAAAGGUUAAGUUACCAGACAGAGGGGUAGUAGAAUACAUGUCCUAAAUGCAUUUGAUAAAAUAAUUUUUAUAUUUCUAACCAUAGUAACAUCUAUGGAAUUAUAAAGCUUACCUCCCUAAACCCACACAAAAAUACAUGUGUAGGCUGGUAAAAAUACCCAGCAGGCUCCCACCACAUAUCCAAAUAACCAUGGCAAUCGCCAAUGCUUUCCAACAGUAGGCCACUACUACUACUAAUAGUAACAAAAAUACAUUUUGUGAAACUUAAGCAGCUUUGUUUAAUCAAUUAACCCACUACUAAUUAAUAAUGAGGGGCAUUUUGUGUAUUCAGAGUGAAUAUUAUUACUAUGAAGACAAGAAAUCCAGUGAAGACAACUAAAAAAAAACUUCUACUACAGCUGCAUUUGUGCCGCACAUGUGUAGAUACAGUCCCAUUCUAUGGCCAUGGACUCCUCUGUUCAGUUGUAUUCCUGACAUAUGUUCUUUUUAUUCACCGGAUUGCAGUAAACGUCCGCACAACGGUUUCGCGGUGUAUAUAGGUGUAGUCAUGACCAGAAUUGGAGAUAAAUUCUGGCUUGUUCAAAUGUUCUCCACAAUAACACCACAAAUAACUCAUGAGACCAAAUCCAUUUCUCCUUCCUUGUCAGUCGUUGUGGGCAUAAAAUAAAAAUUAAUUCACAAAUAUUAACAAGAGCUUUGCUAGCAAAGUUUUAGGCUGUUACAGACCUUCUGAGAGGCUGACCAAUCAGUGGGUAGAAAACUUCUGACGUCAUUGUGAGCUUCCUAGGUGACUCUGAGGUGAGUUUCCCAACUGAUUGGUCAUAAAAAAAAAACUGUUCAGCUCCUAUGUUGUGUAGUUUAACGUAUGCUUGCUCAGGUUGCCCCUGGCAACACAAAGAGACUGAAAUCUGAUUGGAUGAAACAUUGAUAAUCCACACUUUUUACGGGAAGCAGUCAAGAGAGACACUACAAAAAAAUAUAGACUACUGGAAGUAAAUUAUUAAAACUUAUUUGAACAAAUAUAAUAUAGGUUGAAGGGAUUGGUUAUGUGGAAGGCCUUGCAGACCCACUGCAGAAUGGACAUUUGAGGGCUAGAAAAAAAGGCAGAUCAAUUUAUUAUUGCUAUUACUUGAAUGCAUAUACUGCAUUCUUACUUUUGUAGAAACUGAAAUAUUUUCUCUCUUGGUGAGUUACAGAGCAGUUUUAUACCCUUGGUAGUUUUCAUCUUUACCUUGAUGAUAUUAACUGGGGAUGUUUAUGUUUUGUCCUUUAAAGGGAGAUACAUAUACCUCAGCUGUUGCUGCUCUUCAGGAACACCGUGUUCUGAAGUCCCGUUAGGUAUACUCUGCUCCUUUCUUACGGUUGUCAUCCAGUGUUCAACACAUCACAUGUUUCUCCCUUCUCUCCUAGUUCUCUGUUAGAGUGCAAGUAGUGCAGGGCAUUGACAAGUCUUAGCUUGUAUCCAGUGGGUGGUGAGAACUCAAAGAUUAAUGUUUUUUUCUGUUUGAGUGGCUCUCUGUAUGUUUCACUGUGGACGCUUCAUCUUCCAGUGCCUCUCACAUCAAAAGGCCAGCACAGUUUCCUCUGACAACCAGCUGAGCGGACCUAAUCUUGCUGUUUUGAUAUUUCUACCGGCACGUCCUCCACGUAUUAGACCUGGUGGGACAACAGUCUCCACUCCCUACCUUCACUGUAAACAGAUUGGCCCUCUCUGGUCACACCCGACAUUAUGUGGCAUUGCUGUGCCUCUUUCACCAUUUUUAUUGGAAACUGGUGGUGUUAAGGCAGAGGUCAGGUAGGGCUUUGCUCUUGGUCUGCAGUGGAGUUGGCAAUGGCAUUUUUGAGCCAUGAAGAGGUUGGAAUGAAGUUGUGUCUCUUGAUAAAAAUCCUUUUUUUCCUCGUUUGUUUUGGGAAUUUCUAUGAAAUGACGAUAAAAAAAUUGAUAGAGAAAGAAUGAAAAAUAUAUACUCUGCUGCAUCAGUUAGGUCAACAAAUAUUAAGAAUCACAAAUACCUCCCACCUGAAUUAUAGGGGCUUAAAAAGGAACCAUCUAACCAAGGAUGUUUUGCAAUAUUCAUGCGUCUCGUCAUACCUACCUUAAGGGAGAUUUGUACAGCCAUCCAUCCAUUGCCUUCCACCUAGCCACAGUUAAGUUGCAGGGAUAACAGAUUCAGGAGGGAAACCUAGAAAUCUCUCUCCAGCUCAUUCUGGAGGUCCAGAGGGGAUAUCCAAUCCCUCCAGCAGGUUCUAGUUAUGCCCAGGGGUUGGAUGUGCAUGGAGAAUCCCCUGGUGGAAGGAUCCCAGGAGGCAUAGUGAUUCCCAGCCACUCUCCAGAGAAAGCUUGUUUAAGUCACUCGUAUGUGGGAUCUUGUUUAAAGGGGAACCUUUAGCAAACCGGUACCGUCUAUCCAUAUUCUGUUCCGUGCUACAUUCACUUUUGACAAAGAUACCAAGACACUUGAGCUACGGUUGACCCCCCACCCCUAGCUGAAGAGACCAAUCUAACUUUUUUCUAGUUGAGAACCACUCUGACUUCAAACUUAAGAUGGGGUUACUCUAAUCCUAGUCACUUCACACUCAUCCGUCAACCACAUCAUCCACAAUAAGUUAAGAUAUGAUGGUGAGAUUUACAAAUCAGAUAUUUUCUUUUCCACUGCUGUUAACUGAGAUCAAGUAAAAGAACACCAUAAACAAGAUCGGUACAACUGCAGCACUAGUAGAGUACCUCACUGGGAAGAAGUUUGAAUUUAUUCUGAGGACCCAGCUGCCCAAGAGCAACCCAGGCAUCCCAUAGUCAAACGGCAACUGAUAGAAAUAGUUAUGAAGCCAUAUUCAGAUGGAUUGCUGGAUGGAUUCAGUGCAAGACACACAUGUGGACUGGAUAACAAAUCUCUGAUGACCCGAUCAACUCCACAGAUACGGUCCACUCUAUCACAACAGUGGAAAAACUAUUGCGGAACAAUGUUUAGUGCUAUCUGCAAUGCAGUUUUACUAGAACGAUUUGUUCUGCUGAAGUUCAGUCCUUCAUGACUGUGCUCAGCAAUAUUUUGUCCUCUGGCAGCUGAUUCUUUCAAUAGAGGUGCAUAAAGUGAAAGUUUGUCAAAUAGAAUAUCAGAACUGAUGAAUUCCUUUGUAAAUGUUCUUUUAAAACUUAUACAAGAAGGUUCAACAUCUGAGAAGUACCGAUAGUAUAUGGUUCAGCAGGCAUGUUUCUCAUAUUCAUACUUCUGGUGACUGUUAAUUUGAAAGAAUAGAUUGAAAGUUUUCACUGUUGUUGUGAUGACACCUUCAGUUAAUCGGCCUUAAACAGCAGAUUGGAUGUUUCACUCGACAAUCAGCUUUAAAGUCUUUUUUCCCCUUUUCUUUGGAGGAUUAUUCAAGCUCCCUGAAGAUAAAAGUGAAGCCAGGCACAAGUCAAAACCCAAAACACCAUGUUGUUGCCUCUACAGGAAACCUCACCCAAACCCAGAGAGGAGAAAGCCACUGUGCUGCUUAUAGGAACCAGCUGGUGGAGGAGCCUGGGGCAAACCAUCCACAAAUUACUGAGACUGAAGGGGGAGACUCCAAAAUUAUGAUUUAAUUUGUCACUUAAAAUAUUCACUUAUUGUUUGUGCUAAGUUAAAGUUAUUUUGCCUUAUUUGUUCAUAGAAUGCUUUAGUUCAUUUUGUAUUUAUUUGUUCUUUGUUUGGUUAGACCUUCCCCAUGUGGUAGAUUUAGGUUACUCCACCCCUAUUUAAGCAGCCUUUGUUCUUUGAUUAUGAGGUCAGUUUUGUUGUGUUCAGUUAGAGUUCAGUUGACCUCAGUUAAUUUGGAUCCAAAUUUGUUAUUUAUCCUUUGAUUUAUUUUUGCUUCAAAUCUUUAUGCUUUGUUAAUCAUUUUUGAUAAUUAAAUGGAAACUUUUUUUCUACUUUGAA